rnacentral:lncRNA from 1 species
ACUGCGUCGCACAAGUACAAGUACAUAACCAAGAUACAACCACUACACUGAACAUACAAACAUUCAACAUCUAUAUAUAUCCAUACACCAUUCACCACAGGUUCACAUUCAUGAUUUGAACAUAAAUUCACAACUAUUAGUCAAACGUUUCCAACUCGAAAACGGGUUUUGAAAUACUAAGUUAUGAAAAUCACGAAAAACCUUUUGAAAACUGUUUCCCACACGUAAACUCUUUUCUUUUUAAAACGCGCUACCACGAGGGGUAGAAAACCAUUUUUCAUUUCACAAAAUCCACAAAUCUUUUUAUUACAUUCAGAAACCAACUGAAAACUUAAAUAUUCAAACACAAUAAAAUAUUGAACCAUAUUAAGCUUUCUAAGUUAAAUCAACAGAAAUAAAUA